UGAUCUUCCCUGAUUGCUGUUGCGCUAUU
rnacentral:sRNA from 1 species